rnacentral:rRNA from 1 species
UAUCUCUGUAGAGUCUGCAUAUCAAUAAGCGGAGGAAAAGAAACUAACAAGGAUUCCCUUAGUAACGGCGAGUGGAGCGGGAAGAGCUCAAAUUUGAAAUCUUCAAGGGUUCUACCUUGACGAAUUGUAGUUUAUAGAAGUGUUUUCUGUUAGUAGAGGUGGCUAAAAGUUCUUUGGGAAUAGGACAUCAUAGAGGGUGAGAAUCCCGUAUUUGGUCAUUCCUCCUAGCGUUGUGAUACACUUUCAACGAGUCGGAUUGUUUGGGAAUGCAGUCCAAAAUGGGUGGUAAAUUUCAUCUAAAGCUAAAUAUUGGCGAGAGACCGAUAGCGAACAAGUACCUGUGAGGGAAAGAUGAAAAGAACUUUGAAAAGAGAGUUAAACAGUACGUGAAAUUGUCAAAAGGGAAGCGUUUGACACCAGUGUUGUUUUUCCGAAAAUCAAUUACGAAUGUUUUAUUUUUGAGGAGUUAUGACUUCAUCGGCUUGCUCCUUUCUUUAUGAAACUUUCUCAAUGCACUUUUCGGUUAACAAGUCAACAUCAAUUUCUUUUGUUGUAAAAGGGUAUGAGGAAGGUGGCUUUCUUUUCGGAGAAAGUGUUUAUAGCCUUGUGCCUCUGCAAUCGGAGAGAUUGAGGUCUGCAGCGUAGAUCCUUCGGGGUUAGAUACGUUCGUGCUAAGUUAUAGCUUUUCAUAGACAACUUGUUGACUAUGUUUAGUCUUGUAGCCUACUCGCUUACUGCUAUUUUACCUACGCUUAGGAUGUUGACGCAUGAGAUAUACGC